rnacentral:lncRNA from 13 species
ACAUUCGGAUUAUCGACAAGUGUCCUGCGUGGAAGCGAACGCGAGCCAAAGGUGUACUCCUCGCGCGUACGUACGUACGUACGUUUGUUCGCGACAACAAACGGUCUUCUUGGCGCGACGAGGACCGAGAUCUGCUACCUGCUGAACGUGCGAGAUGGACGGAAAAGCGAACGCCCAAUGGUGCCGAGGAGCUAGGGACUCUACCACAUCUACCAUGGCAAUCGAAAUCACUGCGCGCUUUGUCACUUUCACUAAAAAAAUUAUGCAAAUUUAUCAACACAACACUUUCUCACAUUUUUUUCAUGUGAUAAAAAUUAUUUAUUUUUUUCUCAAAUAUACCUCCCAUUUAACAAACCAUCUACACUUCGAGUUUCAAAAACUGCUCAAUUAGCUCGACAGAUAAAAAGAUUUGUAGUACUUAUUUGCAAAUUGAUGAGGAAAUAAGAUUGCAAAUUAAAUCACAUUUGUCACAUUUAAUAAAGAUUUGUGCAAAUUUA